CACGUAGGGGGCGAGCGUUGUCCGGAUUUAUUGGGCGUAAAGAGCUCGUAGGCGGUUUCGUAAGUCGGAUGUGAAAACUCCAGGCUCAACUUGGAGACGCCAUUCGAUACUGCGAUGACUUGAGUCCGGUAGGGGAGUGUGGAAUUCCUGGUGUAGCGGUGAAAUGCGCAGAUAUCAGGAGGAACACCGGUGGCGAAGGCGGAUCUCUGGGCCUUACCUGACGCUGAGGCGCGAAAGCUAGGGGAGCGAACAGG
rnacentral:rRNA from 1 species